GGGUUGUGAGGUUAAGCGACUAAGCGUACACGGUGGAUGCCCUGGCAGUCAGAGGCGAUGAAGGACGUGCUAAUCUGCGAUAAGCGUCGGUGAGGUGAUAUGAACCGUUAUAACCGGCGAUUUCCGAAUGGGGAAACCCAGUGUGUUUCGACACACUAUCAUUAACUGAAUCCAUAGGUUAAUGAGGCGAACCGGGGGAACUGAAACAUCUAAGUACCCCGAGGAAAAGAAAUCAACCGAGAUUCCCCCAGUAGCGGCGAGCGAACGGGGAGGAGCCCAGAGCCUGAAUCAGUGUGUGUGUUAGUGGAAGCGUCUGGAAAGGCGUGCGAUACAGGGUGACAGCCCCGUACACAAAAAUGCACAUAUUGUGAGCUCGAUGAGUAGGGCGGGACACGUGGUAUCCUGUCUGAAUAUGGGGGGACCAUCCUCCAAGGCUAAAUACUCCUGACUGACCGAUAGUGAACCAGUACCGUGAGGGAAAGGCGAAAAGAACCCCGGCGAGGGGAGUGAAAAAGAACCUGAAACCGUGUACGUACAAGCAGUGGGAGCCUCUUAAUGGGGUGACUGCGUACCUUUUGUAUAAUGGGUCAGCGACUUAUAUUCUGUAGCAAGGUUAACCGAAUAGGGGAGCCGAAGGGAAACCGAGUCUUAACUGGGCGUUAAGUUGCAGGGUAUAGACCCGAAACCCGGUGAUCUAGCCAUGGGCAGGUUGAAGGUUGGGUAACACUAACUGGAGGACCGAACCGACUAAUGUUGAAAAAUUAGCGGAUGACUUGUGGCUGGGGGUGAAAGGCCAAUCAAACCGGGAGAUAGCUGGUUCUCCCCGAAAGCUAUUUAGGUAGCGCCUCGUGAAUUCAUCUCCGGGGGUAGAGCACUGUUUCGGCAAGGGGGUCAUCCCGACUUACCAACCCGAUGCAAACUGCGAAUACCGGAGAAUGUUAUCACGGGAGACACACGGCGGGUGCUAACGUCCGUCGUGAAGAGGGAAACAACCCAGACCGCCAGCUAAGGUCCCAAAGUCAUGGUUAAGUGGGAAACGAUGUGGGAAGGCCCAGACAGCCAGGAUGUUGGCUUAGAAGCAGCCAUCAUUUAAAGAAAGCGUAAUAGCUCACUGGUCGAGUCGGCCUGCGCGGAAGAUGUAACGGGGCUAAACCAUGCACCGAAGCUGCGGCAGCGACACUAUGUGUUGUUGGGUAGGGGAGCGUUCUGUAAGCCUGUGA
rnacentral:rRNA from 1 species